rnacentral:rRNA from 1 species
UACAGAGGGGGCCAGCGUUAUUCGGAAUUAUUGGGCGUAAAGGGCGCGUAGGCGGCCAUGCGUGUCUUCCGUGAAAUCCCUCGGCUUAACCGAGGACGUGCGGAAGAAACUGCAAGGCUCGAGUCCGGAAGAGGGGGGCGGAAUUCCCAGUGUAGCGGUGAAAUGCGUAGAUAUUGGGAGGAACACCAGUGGCGAAGGCAGGUCUCUGGGCAUUAACUGACGCUGAGGAGCGAAAGCAUGGGGAGCGAACAGG